UCUGAAGAAUCUGGGGAAGAGUUGUAUGCUGGUCGCUGCAGAUGUCUACAGGCCUGCUGCCAUUGAUCAACUCACUGUACUGGGUGAACAGGUGGGUGUACCGGUUUACUCUGAAGGAACAGGGGCCAAACCUGCACAGAUAACCAAGAAUGUC